CUAACGUUAGUCCGGCUAACGUUCGGUCGGCUAACGUUCGGUCGGCUAACGUUCGUGCCGCCAACGUUUGG
rnacentral:tRNA from 1 species